AUUUAACGCUGGCGGCAGGCCUAACACAUGCAAGUCGAGCGGAUGAAGGGAGCUUGCUCCUGGAUUCAGCGGCGGACGGGUGAGUAAUGCCUAGGAAUCUGCCUGGUAGUGGGGGAUAACGUCCGGAAACGGGCGCUAAUACCGCAUACGUCCUGAGGGAGAAAGUGGGGGAUCUUCGGACCUCACGCUAUCAGAUGAGCCUAGGUCGGAUUAGCUAGUUGGUGGGGUAAAGGCCUACCAAGGCGACGAUCCGUAACUGGUCUGAGAGGAUGAUCAGUCACACUGGAACUGAGACACGGUCCAGACUCCUACGGGAGGCAGCAGUGGGGAAUAUUGGACAAUGGGCGAAAGCCUGAACCAGCCAUGCCGCGUGUGUGAAGAAGGUCUUCGGAUUGUAAAGCACUUUAAGUUGGGAGGAAGGGCAGUAAGUUAAUACCUUGCUGUUUUGACGUUACCAACAGAAUAAGCACCGGCUAACUUCGUG
rnacentral:rRNA from 1 species